CUAAAGACUGCAACAUGCAACCCUCAUAGUCAGAGUAAAUAUAUAAAGUAGAUUCAUUUUAAGUGGAUAUACCUGAUAACCUGACACCUGAACUUCUCCCUGAGAACAGAUUGGAGUGAUUAGAGAACCCGAACCCUGAACUGGAACCCUGGACCACGCGGGACGUGGAAAGGGAUUCCUACAUUCUGGCGCCUACCGAGGGACUUCUGGAGGAGAAGGUAUUUUUCGCCUAAGAGCGAAGGAAGGAAAAAGUACACCGAGGAAAGGUGUGGAAAAUUCACUGGAAAAAAGGUGAGGGAAGUUCACCGCACACAAAAGCCCACGGCCAGCUGCAGAGUCGCGAACUAAAACAACUCCAAGACCAUGUGGAUUCCUGCAACAGAGAGAAAUUGAAAGGACUGCUCCAGCCAUGAAGACAGAAGAGAAGCAGUCCAGAGAUGGAGGGCACUGACGACACCUUGCCGUGCUGGCUGUCAGCGGCUGUGCGUCGCUGCGGUUUGCCCAGGACCGGACUGGAGCACUAUUCAGAAAGGAACUCCAAGACUACAAAGUGGAGGAAGCUCUUUCUCUGAGUGGCCUGUUAAAAUGAUGAGAUUAGACCUACUGAUGUGGCUCAUGUCUUUGCUCUUUCUGUCAUUUUUAUGAUGGAUGGAUUGCACCAAGUUAGAGGAGAAAACUCCAAAGCCCAUAUGGAUUCCUGCAACAACGGAUCCCAGAGAGACCUGAUAGGACUACUGCAGCCACAUAAUAAGCAGUGACCCCCGCGAACAGAGGAGAAAUAGUCCAGAAAUAAAAAUAGUGAAGAUGCCUUGCCAUGCUAGCAGUCAGCACCUGUGCAUUGCUGCAGGUUGACCAGGACCAAGGUAAUAAUGUGGGGAAGAGGUUGUGUUUUAUAUCUUUCCAGAAGGAGCAAUGCAGCCAAUUCGGGUGCCAGAGCGUUACAUCCGUCACCACAAUGGACUCAGAGAAGCUCCUGUGUCCCUUCACUCAAAGGACUGAGAGCUGCCCUGAUGACAGCAAAGCGGGGGAAGAAGAAAACUGAAAGCUACACAAGGGACUGAGGUGCCAACAUGGAGUCGUCUGAAGAAAACGACUGAAGCACAGGAGAUUGUGGAAAAGCAAGAAGUUGAGGCUACUUCUUCAACCAUGUUCCUGCUCAUGCUAGCAUCUGUUAGCUGCCAGUCUUCUGCAAAGUCUUGCGCAGCCAAGUCCAAGGACUCUGAGUAAAUAUACACCAGCAGCAAGAGAGACUUUCUUUCAUUUAGUAGCAAAAAAUGUUAACCUGUCCAUAGUUCUGAUUUGUCUCAUUGUUGUUUUGCAUUGGCAUUGUUUGCAAUUGUGUUAAUAUUAGAGCUUUAUUCUUAAUGUUUAAAUUUUACUUUUAUUAUAGUAGCUUAAAAACAAAAGAAAGAGUGAGAUGUAGAGGGCCGCCUGGGAGGCACCUGGGCAUUUCCUUAAUUAUCAUCAGUUGAACUCAGGGCAUAGGCGGAGUCACACCCUGGGAACAUGCUUCCCCAAUGAGGCUGGACAUGUUAAUCAGUUCUGACUUCAUAGCAGCCCAGGUGUCAGCAGGAGCAGGUCUAGAUAUGUAAAUCCAGUAAUGCUAGGGCCUACUUAAGAAUGCAAAUAAGCUCCUUUGAUCCUAAGUU